rnacentral:ncRNA from 1 species
UCUUAUCAAGAGCGACGGAGGGAACAGGCCCUGUGAAGUCCGGCAACCUACAGAUCAUGCAAGGUGCCAAAUCCUGCGGGAAACCGGAAGAUAAG